rnacentral:rRNA from 1 species
AAUAUUGCACAAUGGAGGGAACUCUGAUGCAGCACCGCCGCGUGAGUGAAGAAGGUUUUCGGAUCGUAAAACUCUGUCAUUGGGGAAGAAUAAAUGACGGUACCCAAUGAGGAAGCCCCGGCUAACUACGUGACAGCCGCCGAGGUAAUACGCAGGGGGCGAGCGUUGUCUGGAAUUACUGGGCGUAAAGGGUACGUAGGCGGCUAUAUAAGUCAGGUGUGAAAUACCAGUGCUUAACACUGGAAUUGCAUUUGAAACAGUGUAGCUGGAGUGCAGGAGAGGAAAGUGGAAUGCCUAGUGUAGCGGUGAAAUGCGUAGAGAUUAGGAGGAACGCCAGUGGCGAAGGCGACUUUCUGGUCUGUAACUGACGCUGAGGCGCGAAAGCGUGGGGAGCAAACA